rnacentral:tRNA from 1 species
GCCUCGUGGUGUAUAGCACAUAAAAUUGCAAAUUUUAGAAGAGUAGAUAAUUUCUACCGGGGCUU